UUAUAUAUCUACAAGUGUGUUUACUAAAUACAUGUAUUAUUAUGCUAAUGUAAUUUAAUUGAUAAAGGUUUUUUUUAUUUAAGAAAAUCUGAGCAUCACUCAAAAUAACUGUCAACAUGUUUGUCAACUAAACAUGUUUUGUAAACGUUAUACAUUUUAUAAAAAUAUUUAAUAUUUUUAUUAUUGAUAAAGUAUAAAGAACAAAUCAGUGUGAAAACGCAGAUUAUAAAAAGUACAUAAAGUGCCAGCAGAGGAUCCAAAAUAAUGAAAAAAAAAAAAAACAUCCAAUGCAACUUGGAAAUUGUAGUCAAAAUACAUCUACAGCAGCAUGCUAAAGCAGUACCAACGCCAGGGCAAAAGACUCAAAUUCCCAGAAUGCACCUGCACCCACCCAUUCAUUCCCACCAAUCAGGAUCAACGGCAUUUUUCAAACCGCUACUGACUCGUUUUCAUGCUAAACAGUACGGCUGAGAGGUCAUGUACCAUGUGGUCGACCUUGCUGACGCUGAAGAGGUUUCUGUGUAAAAAUGAUGACAUUGAGACAAACAGACCAGUUCUGGCUGCCGUGGAGGUCAACACACCACUGAUCUACUGGCUGCCCUUCAACGUGAUGCCCAGCCGAUGCCUGACCACCGACGGAACUAGGGCUGCACGAUAAGUCGCAUGUGUUUGUCAGGCGCAUCUCCUCAGUAAUGCCGGUUCCUUGAUUAGUAUUAAAUCGCCAUCAGCUGUUUUCAGAUGUAGCAGCUUUAACUACACAGAGCCGUAGUUCACUGACAAUCGGGGCAAUUUCGCAUUAAUUAUCGCGGACGUAUCGGCUGCGAUAUGUAUGCGAUAUGGCCCAGCUUGUCAGGGAACUACGGCUCUGUAGUUAAAGCUGCUCCAUCU